GCUCAGAACGAACGCUGGCGGCGUGCUUCCACAUGCAAGUCGAACGAACCUUCGGGUUAGUGGCGGACGGGUGAGUAACGCGUGACCAUCUGCCCUCAGGAGGGGGAUAACGGUUGGAAACGACCGCUAAUACCCCAUAUGCCGAGAGGUGAAAAGAAAUUCGCCUGAGGAUGAGCUCGCGUCUGAUUAGCUAGUUGGUGUGGUAAUGGCGCACCAAGGCUUCGAUCAGUAGCUGGUCUGAGAGGAUGAUCAGCCACACUGGGACUGAGACACGGCCCAGACUCCUACGGGAGGCAGCACUGGG
rnacentral:rRNA from 1 species